ACAACAUAUGUAACUCGUGCUAGUAAAUGCUACAAUUUCAGAGACAACAAAAUCAGAAGCACUUUAUAAUGUGAAACUUUUGUGAAGCAGAGGUGAUGAUUUCCUUCUCAAGCUUGGAACCUAUCAAACCAUGUAGACAAAUAUGACUUGCAAAUUUAUAUUUACAUGUCGCUAUUUCAUGAGAAAGAAACAAACGUGAU
rnacentral:lncRNA from 1 species